rnacentral:misc_RNA from 1 species
AACGCACGAGACCUGCGGACCUGCGGAGGGAUCAUUACCGAGUUUACAACUCCCAAACCCAAUGUGAACGUUACCAAACUGUUGCCUCGGCGGGAUCUCUGCCCCGGAUGCGUCGCAGCCCCGGACCAAGGCGCCCGCCGGAGGACCAACCAAAACUCUUCUGUAUACCCCCCUCGCGGGUUUUUUAUAUCUGAGCCAUCUCGGCGCCUCUCGUAGGCGUUUCGAAAAUGAAUCAAAACU